GGAAGGGUUGUGGCUCAGUGAAAGAGCCUCUGCUUUGCAUGCCGGAAGUUCCGAGUUCAAUUCCUGGCUCCUCCA
rnacentral:tRNA from 1 species